AGAUGCACACACUGAGGAAAGCCCUGUGAGGACACAGUGGAAAAGGCAAUUGCCACAAGCCAGAAGCUCCUGGACUUCCAGUCUCCAGAAGGACCGCGAGGACCUUCGAAGGAGAGACGGUUUCACUCACCUUUGAAUCCCCCAUGUCUGAGCAGAGGGCCUGUCCCUUCAUAAGCAUUCACUGGAACAGCGGGAUGCAAAAAUCCCAAGCCUUCAAAGCCAGCUCCUGCAGAAGACAGAGGGCCUGGCAGCUGAGCUGGAUGCUUCAGGAGCAGAGGAUCUAUCAACUGCAGACCAAGCAUAGGGAGCCGCAGACAAACCUGGAACAGUAAUCCAGCCAGCUCCAGUCGCUCCCAGUCGGCAGCAGGAAGCAAGCUCUGGCCAUGGGGCAAGAAAUCGACUCUGACCCAAUCCUUGAGGUCUGAUGGAGAAGACAAAGACUCAGCUGGAAGAAACUGAAUUGGAGGCACCUACUUUCAAGCCUAGACUUUAAGAGAGGUAAACUACAUACCUAAUCCUUCCUAAUAGAUUCCAGAAAGAACACGGAUGAAACUUCUCUUGAUCUUUUUUUUUUUUCCUUACACAAAUUUAAUACUUUGAUCGCUUACAACUAAAAGGCAGUAUUUAAAGAAA